rnacentral:rRNA from 1 species
CCUACGGGGGGCAGCAGUGAGGAAUAUUGGUCAAUGGGCGAGAGCCUGAACCAGCCAAGUCGCGUGAAGGAUGACGGCCCUACGGGUUGUAAACUUCUUUUGUCAGGGAGCAAUUGAGUCCACGUGUGGUCUUAGCGAGAGUACCUGAAGAAAAAGCAUCGGCUAACUCCGUGCCAGCAGCCGCGGUAAUACGGAGGAUCCGAGCGUUAUCCGGAUUUAUUGGGUUUAAAGGGAGCGUAGAGGGGUUGUCAAGUCAGCUGUGAAAGUCUGGGGCUCAACCGUAAAAUUGCAAUUGAUAUUGGCGGUCUUGAGUACAGUAGAGGUAUGCGGAAUGCGUGGUGUAGCGGUGAAAUGCUUAGAUAUCACGAAGAACUCCGAUUGCGAAGGCAGCUUACUGAACUGCCACUGACGUUGAUGCUCGAAAGUGUGGGUAUCAAACAGGAUUAGAUACCCCAGUAGUC